rnacentral:rRNA from 1 species
UACCGUCGCCAGCAGCCGCGGUAAGUACGGAGGGUGCGAGCGUUAAUCGGAAGUUACUGGGCGUAAAGACGCAUGCAGGUGGUUUGUUUAAGUUCAGAUGUGAAAGACCCGGGGCGUCAACCUCGGAAUUAGCAUUUGAAACUGGCAAACUAGAGUACUGUAGAGGGGGGUAGGAAUUUCAGGUGUAGCGGUGAAAUGCGUAGAGAUCUGAAGGAAUACCGGUGGCGAAGGCGGCCCCCUGGACAGAUACUGACACUCAGAUGCGAAAGCGUGGGGAGCAAACAGGAUUAGAUACCCUGGUAG